rnacentral:rRNA from 1 species
GACGAACGCUGGCGGCGUGCUUAACACAUGCAAGUCGAACGGAAAGGCCCCUUCGGGGGUACUCGAGUGGCGAACGGGUGAGUAACACGUGGGUGAUCUGCCCUGCACUUCGGGAUAAGCCUGGGAAACUGGGUCUAAUACCGGAUAGGACCACGGGAUGCAUGUCCUGUGGUGGAAAGCUUUUGCGGUGUGGGAUGGGCCCGCGGCCUAUCAGCUUGUUGGUGGGGUGACGGCCUACCAAGGCGACGACGGGUAGCCGGCCUGAGAGGGUGUCCGGCCACACUGGGACUGAGAUACGGCCCAGACUCCUACGGGAGGCAGCAGUGGGGAAUAUUGCACAAUGGGCGCAAGCCUGAUGCAGCGACGCCGCGUGGGGGAUGACGGCCUUCGGGUUGUAAACCUCUUUCAGCAGGGACGAAGCGCAAGUGACGGUACCUGCAGAAGAAGCACCGGCCAACUACGUGCCAGCAGCCGCGGUAAUACGUAGGGUGCGAGCGUUGUCCGGAAUUACUGGGCGUAAAGAGCUCGUGGGUGGUUUGUCGCGUUGUUCGUGAAAACCGGGGGCUUAACCCUCGGCGUGCGGGCGAUACGGGCAGACUGGAGUACUGCAGGGGAGACUGGAAUUCCUGGUGUAGCGGUGGAAUGCGCAGAUAUCAGGAGGAACACCGGUGGCGAAGGCGGGUCUCUGGGCAGUAACUGACGCUGAGGAGCGAAAGCGUGGGGAGCGAACAGGAUUAGAUACCCUGGUAGUCCACGCCGUAAACGGUGGGUACUAGGUGUGGGUUUCCUUCCUUGGGAUCCGUGCCGUAGCUAACGCAUUAAGUACCCCGCCUGGGGAGUACGGCCGCAAGGCUAAAACUCAAAGGAAUUGACGGGGGCCCGCACAAGCGGCGGAGCAUGUGGAUUAAUUCGAUGCAACGCGAAGAACCUUACCUGGGUUUGACAUGCACAGGACGCCGGCAGAGAUGUCGGUUCCCUUGUGGCCUGUGUGCAGGUGGUGCAUGGCUGUCGUCAGCUCGUGUCGUGAGAUGUUGGGUUAAGUCCCGCAACGAGCGCAACCCUUGUCUCAUGUUGCCAGCGGGUAAUGCCGGGGACUCGUGAGAGACUGCCGGGGUCAACUCGGAGGAAGGUGGGGAUGACGUCAAGUCAUCAUGCCCCUUAUGUCCAGGGCUUCACACAUGCUACAAUGGCCGGUACAAAGGGCUGCGAUGCCGCGAGGCUUAGCGAAUCCUUUUAAAGCCGGUCUCAGUUCGGAUCGGGGUCUGCAACUCGACCCCGUGAAGUCGGAGUCGCUAGUAAUCGCAGAUCAGCAACGCUGCGGUGAAUACGUUCCCGGGCCU